GCCGACCCAGUGUUCAGACUACCUGUUCAGGCAGUUCCGAAUGUGUACAGUAGUCUGCACAUUGGUUAGGC
rnacentral:pre_miRNA from 1 species